rnacentral:rRNA from 1 species
UGUAACGGGGCUAAACCAUGCACCGAAGCUGCGGCAGCGACGCUUAUGCGUUGUUGGGUAGGGGAGCGUUCUGUAAGCCUGUGAAGGUGUGUCGUGAGGCAUGCUGGAGGUAUCAGAAGUGCGAAUGCUGACAUAAGUAACGAUAAAGCGGGUGAAAAGCCCGCUCGCCGGAAGACCAAGGGUUCCUGUCCAACGUUAAUCGGGGCAGGGUGAGUCGACCCCUAAGGCGAGGCCGAAAGGCGUAGUCGAUGGGAAACGGGUUAAUAUUCCCGUACUUGGUGUUACUGCGAAGGGGGGACGGAGAAGGCUAUGUUGGCCGGGCGACGGUUGUCCCGGUUUAAGCGUGUAGGUGUGUGUUCCAGGUAAAUCCGGUUCACUUUAACACUGAGGCGUGAUGACGAGGCACUACGGUGCUGAAGUAACAAAUGCCCUGCUUCCAGGAAAAGCCUCUAAGCAUCAGGUAACAUCAAAUCGUACCCCAAACCGACACAGGUGGUCAGGUAGAGAAUACCAAGGCGCUUGAGAGAACUCGGGUGAAGGAACUAGGCAAAAUGGUGCCGUAACUUCGGGAGAAGGCACGCUGACACGUAGGUGAAGUGAUUUACUCACGGAGCUGAAGUCAGUCGAAGAUACCAGCUGGCUGCAACUGUUUAUUAAAAACACAGCACUGUGCAAACACGAAAGUGGACGUAUACGGUGUGACGCCUGCCCGGUGCCGGAAGGUUAAUUGAUGGGGUCAGCGCAAGCGAAGCUCCUGAUCGAAGCCCCGGUAAACGGCGGCCGUAACUAUAACGGUCCUAAGGUAGCGAAAUUCCUUGUCGGGUAAGUUCCGACCUGCACGAAUGGCGUAAUGAUGGCCAGGCUGUCUCCACCCGAGACUCAGUGAAAUUGAACUCGCUGUGAAGAUGCAGUGUACCCGCGGCAAGACGGAAAGACCCCGUGAACCUUUACUAUAGCUUGACACUGAACAUUGAGCCUUGAUGUGUAGGAUAGGUGGGAGGCUUUGAAGUGUGGACGCCAGUCUGCAUGGAGCCGACCUUGAAAUACCACCCUUUAAUGUUUGAUGUUCUAACGUGGACCCGUUACCCGGGUUGCGGACAGUGUCUGGUGGGUAGUUUGACUGGGGCGGUCUCCUCCUAAAGAGUAACGGAGGAGCACGAAGGUUGGCUAAUCCUGGUCGGACAUCAGGAGGUUAGUGCAAUGGCAUAAGCCAGCUUGACUGCGAGCGUGACGGCGCGAGCAGGUGCGAAAGCAGGUCAUAGUGAUCCGGUGGUUCUGAAUGGAAGGGCCAUCGCUCAACGGAUAAAAGGUACUCCGGGGAUAACAGGCUGAUACCGCCCAAGAGUUCAUAUCGACGGCGGUGUUUGGCACCUCGAUGUCGGCUCAUCACAUCCUGGGGCUGAAGUAGGUCCCAAGGGUAUGGCUGUUCGCCAUUUAAAGUGGUACGCGAGCUGGGUUUAGAACGUCGUGAGACAGUUCGGUCCCUAUCUGCCGUGGGCGCUGGAGAACUGAGGGGGGCUGCUCCUAGUACGAGAGGACCGGAGUGGACGCAUCACUGGUGUUCGGGUUGUCAUGCCAAUGGCACUGCCCGGUAGCUAAAUGCGGAAGAGAUAAGUGCUGAAAGCAUCUAAGCACGAAACUUGCCCCGAGAUGAGUUCUCCCUGAGACUUUAGGUCUCCUGAAGGAACGUUGAAGACGACGACGUUGAUAGGCCGGGUGUGUAAGCGCAGCGAUGCGUUGAGCUAACCGGUACUAAUGAACCGUGAGGCUUAACCUU